GAUCUGGUGUUGCUGCCACUAUGGCUCAGAUUCAACCCCUGGCCUGGGAACUUCCAUAUGCUGUGGGUGCGGCCAUAAAAAAAAAAGAGAGAGAGAGAGAAAGAUGUGACCACUAAAUGCUGUCCAUGAUUGUGGACUGGACUUCGGACUAGAAAAAGAACAUAGUGGAAUAAUUGUUUACAUUGGAGUAAAAACUGAGGAGUAGAGAAAUGUAUUAUAUCAGUGUUAAAGUUCCCCAGCUGUAUUGUGGUUGUGUAAGAAAAUAUCCUUUCGGAUUCGUUAACCACUACAGCAAAGUGAUUCAGUUAUACAUGUACACACAUCCAUUCUCUUUCAGAGUCUUUUGCCACAGAGAUGAUCACGGAAUAUGGGUAGAGUUCUCUCUGUUACAUGGCAGGUCCCCAUUGGCCAGUCAUUCCAUAUACUUUCUGGUUUAGUCUUCCACCUGAUAUUUGAGGGUCCUCCUCCUAGUUUACCGUGCUCCCCCUGUAUUGAUCUUCUUUGCCGUCCUCAAGAAUGUAAGCCUGUCUGGAUCAGAGUCUUUGCACUCUCUCUUCCUCUGCUUGGAAUGUGCUCCCAAAUUCCCACGGAAAUUCUUGUGACUGGCUCCUUCUUAUUAUUCAGAUCGCCUCUUCAGUGAGACUUUCCUCGACUACCCAGCCUAAAGUAUUCCAUCUCCCCGGUGCGCUUGUUAUCUGAAAAUAUAGAGUUAAUCUGUGCUUUGUUCUUUCUUCUGCCCCUUCCACUAGAGUGUACACAUCAUGAAAGGAGGGACCUUCAGGACUCUGUCCCCAGUAAUUAGAAUAGUGCCAGAACCGUAAGCUCUUAAAAUAGGUUCAUUGAGUGAAUGAAGGUGGUACAGAGUGGGGUGGUGGGGGAGGUGAAGGACUCUGGAAGGAAAGUUGGCAACACAAACAUGGUUAUUGGAGAGGUUCUGUGUGUGUGUGUGUGUGUGUGUGUGUAUGUGUGUGUGUGUUAGUCAUGGUGUCUAGUAUUCCAUUCUACACCAAGUCCUUUUGGUUUUUUUUGGCCUCGGCAGUGGCAUGUAGAAGUUCCCAGGCCAGAGAUCAAAGCCAUGCCAUAGCAGUGACAGUGCCAAUCCUGAACCUGCAGGGCACCAGGGAACUCCACCAAGUACUUCUUUUAGAAGAGGAUAGGAAAAAAGUUGUG
rnacentral:lncRNA from 1 species